rnacentral:tRNA from 1 species
GGAGAGGUGGCUCAGCGGUUAGAGCUCUGGCUGCUCUUCCAGAGGUCCUGAGUUCAAUUCCCAGCAACCCCA